rnacentral:rRNA from 1 species
GAGUUUGAUCCUGGCUCAGACGUGAACGCUCGGCUGGUCAAGCCUAACACAUGCAAGUCGAACGGCAGCACAGGAGAGCUUGCUCUCUGGGUGGCGAGUGGCGGACGGGUGAGGAAUACAUCGGAAUCUACUUUUUCGUGGGGGAUAACGUAGGGAAACUUACGCUAAUACCGCAUACGACCUACGGGUGAAAGCAGGGGAUCUUCGGACCUUGCGCGAUUGAAUGAGCCGAUGUCGGAUUAGCUAGUUGGCGGGGUAAAGGCCCACCAAGGCGACGAUCCGUAGCUGGUCUGAGAGGAUGAUCAGCCACACUGGAACUGAGACACGGUCCAGACUCCUACGGGAGGCAGCAGUGGGGAAUAUUGGACAAUGGGCGCAAGCCUAAUCCAGCCAUACCGGUGGGUGAAGA